AGCACCAACACACCAAAUAUGUCGAGAAUGACCUUUAAUUUAUCCGAGAGCGUGUAGCUGCUGGAGCUAUUCGUGUUCUCCAUGUUCCGACAUUCUCUUAGUAUACCGAUAUCUUCACCAAAUGACACCCGUCCUUUGUGUUUUUUGAUUUUUGGUCCACCGACGUUCCUAUUAUGGGGGUGUUAGGCAGGAGAUUGAUUCCCUUCCAUCCGUGGCUUGAUUGAUUCAUGUGAUUGAUUUGGUUGCCCUCCCGGACCCUAUAAACGGGGAUGAGGGUUGCCUAUAUAUUUGUAUCCUUGUACAACAGGAUGAAUCAAGUCUACAAUUCCCACAUAUUCAUUUACCUUCAGUAUCUUCUUCAUUCACUAUAUCUCAAUAUUUUGCACAUUCACUUGUAUUUUGAUUUAACCACAGUCCACAACCACGCGCGGCGGGGGAGAUUCGGACGUCGCUGUCGGUGAUUCUUGCGGAGGGGGAGAAGGUGGCGCCGGCGGACAGUCUGGCGGCCGUUGCUGCUUGGGUGCUGCUGCCAUGGCGCCUAGCGAGCGAAGACGGCGACCGGAGUACAAGUCACAGGGGCUCGGACAGUCACGGGUUCUGCAGCUCCGAGGAGAAAGUCAGAGCGGGGCACUAUAAUCAUUCACUCGGCAAGAUCAGAGCAGACAACGACAUUACAAGUGAAAGGCUCCAUUUCUGAACUUGGGAAUACUUGAUUCUAUAAGUGAAAGCUGUGUUGUUGUGUAGACUCGAUUCUAUAAGUGAAAGUUGUGUUGUUGUGUGUGUCAUGAUCGUAAAAAGCUCCGAUUAAAGUGUCCUAAGGUUGCAAUCGUGUUUCAGUGAAAUAAACUGCAACAGCAACUGGGAUAGGUGACCUUCAAGUGGAUCCUAUAAAUUCUCUGAACUGCACUUGGAUGCUUCGGUCAUAGGCAAGUUCCAUGUCUCCUAGCCUUCUAGUUUUUUAAUGCUACUGUGAUUUAGAUGCUGGGACUUAGAAGUUGCCCCUAUGCAUGUUAAAAAAUAUGUUAGGUUGAUUAGUUUUCGACAACCAAAACAUCUAUUGAUCUGGAGCUUGCAGUUA